rnacentral:rRNA from 1 species
UACGUAGGGUGCGAGCGUUGUCCGGAAUUACUGGGCGUAAAGAGCUCGUAGGUGGUUUGUCGCGUUGUUCCGUGAAAACUCACAGCUUAACUGUGGGCGUGCGGGCGAUACGGGCAGACUGGAGUACUGCAGGGGAGACUGGAAUUCCUGGUGUAGCGGUGGAAUGCGCAGAUAUCAGGAGGAACACCGGUGGCGAAGGCGGGUCUCUGGGCAGUAACUGACGCUGAGGAGCGAAAGCGUGGGGGAGCGAACAGG